rnacentral:rRNA from 1 species
UACGGAGGGGGCUAGCGUUAUUCGGAAUUACUGGGCGUAAAGCGCACGUAGGCGGCCUGAAAAGUCAGAGGUGAAAUCCCAGGGCUCAACUUGGAACUGCCUUUGAAACUCUCAGGCUUGAGGUCGAGAGAGGUGAGGGGAAUUCCGAGUGUAGAGGUGAAAUUCGUAGAUAUUCGGAGGAACACCAGUGGCGAAGGCGGCUCACUGGCUCGAUACUGACGCUGAGGUGCGAAAGCGUGGGGAGCAAAUAGG